GACGAACGCUGGCGGCGUGCCUAAUACAUGCAAGUUGAGCGCUGAAGGUUGGUACUUGUACCAACUGGAUGAGCAGCGAACGGGUGAGUAACGCGUGGGGAAUCUGCCUUUGAGCGGGGGACAACAUUUGGAAACGAAUGCUAAUACCGCAUAAAAACUUUAAACACAAGUUUUAAGUUUGAAAGAUGCAAUUGCAUCACUCAAAGAUGAUCCCGCGUUGUAUUAGCUAGUUGGUGAGGUAAAGGCUCACCAAGGCGAUGAUACAUAGCCGACCUGGGAGGGUGAUCGGCCACAUUGGGACUGAGACACGGCCCAAACUCCUACGGGAGGCAGCAGUAGGGAAUCUUCGGCAAGGGACGAAAGUCUGACCGAGCAACGCCGCGUGAGUGAAGAAGGUUUUCGGAUCGUAAAACUCUGUUGGUAGAGAAGAACGUUGGUGAGAGUGGAAAGCUCAUCAAGUGACGGUAACUACCCAGAAAGGGACGGCUAACUACGUG
rnacentral:rRNA from 1 species